rnacentral:rRNA from 1 species
AACGAACGCUGGCGGCGUGGAUAAGACAUGCAAGUCGAGCGCUGAUUCAAGGGUAGCAAUAUUCUUGAGUCGGAGCGGCGCAAGGGUGCGUAACACGUGGGUAAUUUGCCAUGAAGUCUGGAAUAACUUGCUGAAAGGCGAGCUAAUGCCGGAUGUGAUUUUUGGGGAGCAUUUCCUGAAACUCAAAGUUGGGGACCGUAAGGCCUGACGCUUCUUGAAAGCCCGCGGCCUAUCAGCUAGUUGGUGAGGUAACGGCUCACCAAGGCUAAGACGGGUAGCUGGUCUGAGAGGACGACCAGCCACACUGGAACUGAGACACGGUCCAGACACCUACGGGUGGCAGCAGUCGAGAAUUUUUCUCAAUGGGCG